rnacentral:rRNA from 1 species
AUACGGAGGAUGCGAGCGUUAUCCGGAUUUAUUGGGUUUAAAGGGUGCGUAGGCUGUGCUGCAAGUCAGGGGUUAAAAGCCGCAGCUCAACUGCGGAGCUGCCCUUGAAACUGUUAGACUUGAAUAUGAGAGGGGCUGAUAGAAUUCCUGGUGUAGCGGUACAAUGCGUAGAUAUCACGAAGAACUCCGAUCGCGAAGGCAGCCUUCCGGCCCGUCAACGACGCUCAUGCUCGAAGGUGCGGGUAUCAAACAGGAUUAGAUACCCUGGUAGUCCGCACAGUAAACGAUGGACACCCGCGGUUUGGCCUGUAUGGCUGAGCCGCCAAGCGAAAGCGUUAAGUGUCCCACCUGGGGAGUACGCCGGCAACGGUGAAACUCAAAUGAAUUGGCGGGG